AAACAUGCAAGUCGAGGGGCAGCAAUUUGUAGCAAUACAAAGUUGGCGACCGGCGCACGGGUGAGUAACGCGUAUGCAACCUACCUACAACAGAAGAAUAAUCCGGCGAAAGUCGGUCUAAUACUUCAUAAAACAGGGAUACCGCAUGGUGUUAUUUGUUAAAGAUUUAUCGGUUGUAGAUGGGCAUGCGUACCAUUAGGUAGUUGGUGAGGUAACGGCCCACCAAGCCUACGAUGGUUAGGGGUUCUGAGAGGAAAGUCCCCCACACUGGUACUGAGACACGGACCAGACUCCUACGGGAGGCAGCAGUGAGGAAUAUUGGUCAAUGGGCGAGAGCCUGAACCAGCCAAGUCGCGUGAAGGAUGACGGCCCUAUGGGUUGUAAACUUCUUUUGCAGGGGAAUAAAGAUAUUCACGUGUGGGUAGUUGUAUGUACCCUGCGAAUAAGCAUCGGCUAACUCCGUGCCAGCAGCCGCGGUAAUACGGAGGAUGCGAGCGUUAUCCGGAUUUAUUGGGUUUAAAGGGUGCGUAGGUGGGCUAUUAAGUCAGUGGUGAAAGUUUGUCGCUCAACGAUAAAAUUGCCGUUGAAACUGGUGGUCUUGAGUAUGGAUGAAGUAGGCGGAAUGCGUGGUGUAGCGGUGAAAUGCAUAGAGAUCACGCAGAACUCCGGUUGCGAAGGCAGCUUACUAAGGCAUAACUGACACUGAAGCACGAAAGCGUGGGUAUCAAACAGGAUUAGAUACCCUGGUAGUCCACGCAGUAA
rnacentral:rRNA from 1 species